rnacentral:rRNA from 1 species
GACGAACGCUGGCGGCGUGCUUAACACAUGCAAGUCGAACGGUGAAGGGGCCUGCUUUUGUGGGCCCUGGAUGAGUGGCGAACGGGUGAGUAACACGUGAGUAACCUGCCCCCUUCUUCUGGAUAACCGCAUGAAAGUGUGGCUAAUACGGGAUAUUCUGGGUCUGUCGCAUGAUGGGUCUGGGAAAGAUUGCGCCUUUGGGUGUUUUUGGUGGGGGAUGGGCUCGCGGCCUAUCAGCUUGUUGGUGGGGUGAUGGCCUACCAAGGCGGUGACGGGUAGCCGGCCUGAGAGGGUGGACGGUCACACUGGGACUGAGACACGGCCCAGACUCCUACGGGAGGCAGCAGUGGGGAAUAGUGCACAAUGGGCGCAAGCCUGAUGCAGCGACGCCGCGUGAGGGAUGGAGGCCUUCGGGUUGUAAACCUCUUUCGCCAGUGAAGCAGGCCUGCUCCUUGUGGGUGGGUUGACGGUAGCUGGAGAAGAAGCGCCGGCUAACUACGUG